rnacentral:rRNA from 1 species
UACGAAGGGGGCUAGCGUUGCUCGGAAUCACUGGGCGUAAAGCGCACGUAGGCGGAUUGUUAAGUCAGGAGUGAAAUCCUGGAGCUCAACUCCAGAACUGCCUUUGAUACUGGCGAUCUCGAGUCCGGGAGAGGUGAGUGGAACUGCGAGUGUAGAGGUGAAAUUCGUAGAUAUUCGCAAGAACACCAGUGGCGAAGGCGGCUCACUGGACGACUGUUGACGCUGAGGUGCGAAAGCGUGGGGAGCAAACAGG